GUAGGUGGCAAGCGUUGUCCGGAAUUAUUGGGCGUAAAGCGCGCGCAGGCGGGUCCUUUAAGUCUGAUGUGAAAGCCCACGGGCUCAACCGUGGAGGGUCAUUGGAAACUGGGGGACUUGAGUACAGAAGAGGAAAGCGGAAUUCCAAGUGUAGCGGUGAAAUGCGUAGAGAUUUGGAGGAACACCAGUGGCGAAGGCGGCCUUCUGGUCUGUAACUGACGCUGAGGCGCGAAAGCGUGGGGAGCAAACAGGAUUAGAUACCCUGGUAGUCCACGCCGUAAACGAUGAGUGCUAAGUGUUAGGGGGUUUCCGCCCCUUAGUGCUGCAGCUAACGCAUUAAGCACUCCGCCUGGGGAGUACGGCCGCAAAGGCUG
rnacentral:rRNA from 1 species